rnacentral:rRNA from 1 species
UACGAGGGGGGCAAGUGUUGUUCGGAAUUACUGGGCGUAAAGGGCGCGUAGGCGGAUGUUUAAGUUGGAUGUUUAAAACCGGGGCCCAACCCCGGAGCGGCAUCCAAAACUGGGCAUCUUGAAUAGGUCAGAGGCUAGUGGAAUUGGAGGUGUAGCGGUGGAAUGCGUAGAGAUCUCCAAGAACACCUAUUGCGAAGGCAGCUAGCUGGGACCAUAUUGACGCUGAGGCUCGAAAGCAUGGGGAGCAAACAGG